GAGAAAGUAAGCAAGGGCAGACGGUGGAUGCCUUGGCUCUCGGAGGCGACGAAGGACGUGAUAAGCUGCGAAAAGCUCGGGGGAGGCGCAAAUAGCCCUUGAUCCCGGGAUAUCCGAAUGGGGCAACCCGGCAGGCUGAAGGCCUGCCAUCCCGUAAGGGAGGCGAACGUGGGGAACUGAAACAUCUAAGUACCCAUAGGAGGAGAAAAUAAACAAUGAUUCCGUAAGUAGUGGCGAGCGAACACGGAAGAGCCCAAACCCGUGCCGUCUAGGCGACACGGGGGUUGUAGGACCACGACGUGGCAAGAUAGAGUCAAGUGGAACGCCUUGGAAAAGGCGACCGUAGAGGGUGAAAACCCCGUACACGACUGACGAUUGAAGCCUAGUGGCAUCCUGAGUAGCGCGGGGCACGAGAAAUCUUGCGUGAAACUGCGGGGCCCAUCCCGUAAGGCUAAAUACUCCCGAGAGACCGAUAGCGAACCAGUACCGUGAGGGAAAGGUGAAAAGAACCCCGAGCAGGGGAGUGAAAUAGACCCUGAACCCGUCUGCCUACAAGCGGUCGGAGCAUCGUCAAGAUGUGACGGCGUGCCUUUUGCAUAAUGAACCUACGAGUUACCUUCCCCGGCAAGGUUAAGUACCUAAGGUACGGAGCCGAAGCGAAAGCGAGUCUGAAUAGGGCGGCCAGUCGGGGGGGGUAGACGCGAAACCGAGUGAUCUACCCUUGGCCAGGUUGAAGGUUGGGUAACACCAACUGGAGGACCGGAUGGGUAAGCGUUGAAAAGCUUUCCAAUGAGCUGAGGGUAGGGGUGAAAGGCUAAUCAAACUCGGAGAUAGCUCGUACUCCCCGAAAUGCAUUUAGGUGCAGCCUCUUUAUAGUAUAUCGUGAGGUAGAGCGACUGAUUGGAUGCGAGGGCUUCACCGCCUAUCAAGUCCAGAUAAACUCCGAAUGCGCGAUAUAUAUUUACAGGGAGUGAGGGCGCGGGUGCUAAGGUCCGUGUCCGAGAGGAGAAGAAUCCAGACCACCGGCUAAGGCCCCCAAAUGAUCGUUGAGUUGAACUAACGAGGUCGGAUCGCAGAGACAGCUAGGAUGUUGGCUUGGAAGCAGCCAUUCAUUUAAAGAGUGCGUAACAGCUCACUAGUCGAGCGAUCUGGCGUGGAUAAUAAUCGGGCAUAAACGAUCUGCCGAAGCCGUGGAUGUCGUAAGACAUGGUAGGGGAGCAUUCCAUGCGCGUCGAAGAUGAGGGAAGACCCUUGUUGGAGCGCAUGGAAAAGCAAAUGUAGGUAUGAGUAACGAUAAGGGGGGCGAGAAACCCCCCCGCCGAAAGACCAAGGUUUCCUGAUCAACGCUAAUCGGAUCAGGGUGAGUCGGGACCUAAGGCAAAGCCGAACGGCGCCGCCGAUGGAAGAAUGGGUUAAUAUUCCCAUACUGCCUCAUGGAGUGACGUGGAGACGGAGAAGUGACAGUCCUGCCGACUGACGGAAUAGCCGGUUGAAGGGUGUAGAUGUAGAUUCCUGUAGGCAAAUCCGCGGGGAGAGUCGAACCUGAGAGUAUACGGAGCGCUUGCGCAACGUAAUAUGGACGUAACCAUGCUCCCGAGAAAAUCCGCUAAACUUAUCCAUGCGGCACCCGUACCGUAAACGGACACACGUGGUCGGGUUGAGAAUACUGAGGCGCUCGAGUGACUCACGGUUAAGGAACUAGGCAAAUUGACCCUGUAACUUCGGGAUAAAGGGUCCUCGUCGUAAGGCGAGGCGCAGAGAAUAGGUCCAGGCAACUGUUUAACAAAAACACAUGGCUGUGCUAAAUAGAAAUAUGAAGUAUACAGCCUGACACCUGCCCGGUGCUGGAAGGUUAAGAGGAGAUGUCAUCGCAAGAGAAGCGUUGAAUUGAAGCCCCAGUAAACGGCGGCCGUAACUAUAACGGUCCUAAGGUAGCGAAAUUCCUUGUCGGGUAAGUUC
rnacentral:rRNA from 1 species